GAUGAACGCUGGCGGCGUGCCUAACACAUGCAAGUCGAACGGACAAGCGCCUAGCUUUUUCCUGUGAGGGUAGCGGCGGCCGAGGGGGUAAUAAGACGAUAGCAACCUGCUCCCUCUUGCUGGACAACGGGAUGAAAGUGCUGCUAAUACGGGAUAUUCUGGACCGGUCGGAUGAUGGGUGUAGGAAAGAUUUUGUGUCGGUUGGAGAUGGGCCCGCGGCGCAUUAGCUAGUUGGUGGGGUAACGGCUUACCAAGGCGACGAUGCGUAGCCGACCUGAGAGGGUGAUCGGCCACACUGGAACUGCGACACGGUCCAGACUCCUACUGGAGGCAGCAGUAGGGAAUAUUCCUCAAUGGGCGGAAGCAUGCUGGAGCAACGCCGCGUGGUUGAGGAAGGUCUUCGGAUUGUAAAGCUCUUUUAUUGGGAGAGAAGAAGGGCGGACGUGUCUGUGCGUGUCUUGACGGUACCUAAACAGAAAGCGCCGGCUAACUACGUG
rnacentral:rRNA from 1 species